rnacentral:rRNA from 1 species
CGCCAGCCCGCUCAGAAACUCAAAGGAAUUGACGGGGCCCGCACAAGCGGAGGAGCAUGUGGUUUAAUUCGAUGAUACGCGAGGAACCUUACCUGGGCUCGAACGUAAGAUGACUGUAGGUGAAAGCUUACAUCUCUUCGGAGCAUUUUACGAGGUGCUGCAUGGUUGUCGUCAGCUCGUGCCGUGAGGUGUCGGGUUAAGUCCCAUAACGAGCGCAACCCCUACCUUUAGUUGCCAUCAGGUAAUGCUGGGGACUCUAAAGGAACUGCCUACGCAAGUAGUGAGGAAGGCGGGGAUGACGUCAAAUCAGCACGGCCCUUACGUCCAGGGCUACACACGUGCUACAAUGGCCGAUACAGAGGGCAGCUACCUGGUGACAGGAUGCAAAUCUCCAAAGUCGGUCUCAGUUCGGAUCGGAGUCUGCAACCCGACUCCGUGAAGUUGGAUUCGCUAGUAAUCGCGCAUCAGCCAUGGCGCGGUGAAUACGUUCCCGGGCCUU